CUCCGUACGGGGAAGGAUGAGAAGCUUUGACUAAGGUUCGAUUCGAGCGCAGCGAGAAAGCGUUGCCGCAGGCAACGACCCGAAGGGUGAGGAGCGGAGCGACGAAUAAUCCUUCCCCCACCACCA
rnacentral:sRNA from 1 species